UUUUUAUUUGAUGCUCACUUUUUAUUUGAUGGACACUUUUUAUUUGAUCGUCACUUCUUCUUUGAUGGUCACUGUACAUUUGAUCAUCGCUUUUCAUUUGAUCAUCACAAUUUCAGUUGAUGGUUUCGGCAUUCCAUACAUGGUCGAUUUAUAUUUGAUGGUCACUUUUCAUUUGAUCGUCGCUUUUUAUUUGAUCGUCACUUUUCAUUUGGUCGUCGCUUUUCAGAGUACGUGCGCAUAAACGUGUCGCAGUGAGCACUGAGCAGAUCCAUGGAUAAAAUAGCGCAGCUUGGUAUCAGUUGAACGCGCGCGUGCUGCUCGAUGUGCUACCAUAUGUAUAUGCUGUGUACACUUCGAACCAUAGACUAAUAAAUACGUAUAGACUGAAAGGUAGCACCCGCGGAAAAGCCACAUUUAAAUAACAUUUGCAUAUAACGUAUAGAUACUCCAUAGAAGCUCCAUGGUGAUAAGCGUAUUUUUUACCACUUUCGGCCACACCCCCCGGGAGACAUUUGAACCGAAUCCUAAGCCCCCAUUUGCAUAUUGCUAAUGAAUCAUUUAUUUUUUCUUUGCGUACUCGCAAGAUACUGUGAUGUGAUUGGAUCUUACCUUAUGAAUAAUGUAUUUUUCUAUUGAAAUUCGUACGUCAUAAUUUGACCCCCAUCGUCACUUCCGCUUAAUUAAAGGCUGAAAGAUGACGUCACCCGCACAGAAGAAGAUUAUGUCCUUGAAAGAUUUUCGACAUAGAACAUGAUGCUGCUUCACAUCCUCUUUUAGAGACUCGAGGAUUACAAGACCGAAUUAAGCUGCAGGACCCUCCUGAUUCAAAAAGAUAUGGAACAUGACUCUGCUUCACAUCCUCUGUUUUAGAGACUCAAGAAAUACAAGACAAAAUUAAGGGUUUGCUUUUUAAUUCCAAUAAUAAUUUUCUGGAGGAAGAAUUAGGGAAUAAUGCAUUGACAAUAUGCCAAACAUCCUAUAUCAAACUGAAUUACUGCAUGUAUUUACAAUAGAGUAUUGUAACCGCCCCCCCCCCACACUACUGACCAAACAAAACCCAUAAACAAUUUAAGAGGGAUAGGGUUAUUUUAGGGGUAAUUAUACUUGCUUAUUGUAGCAGUAGUUUUUACAAUUAUGGAUGUAGAUAAUGAUAAUGUUUAUAAUAAUAAUACUUAGAAUAAUAAAUUUAUUUCAAUGACAUAAC